UUAAAUGCAAAGGGGUGGCAAAAAGCCUGAGACCUCAUUCGGAACUCUUUGAACCUGAUCCAUACAAUAGUGGCGGAGGAAUUGCAUGCACAUCAAUA
rnacentral:ncRNA from 1 species